GACGCAGCGACCAGGCUCCGGGCAGGGGGGCGGCGGGAGCGGUGCGCCGAGCCCGGAGGGGACCUGGCACCCCGGGGGAGCGCGCGCUCGGGGAGAGGGCGAGACGCGGGGUCCCCGGGACCGGUGCACGCGCGCGCGAGCCUGUGGUGGUGCCCUGAGCGAACGGCACCCCCGCCCCUCCCCCCGCGGCCCCCCACAAAUGUUGCAAACUUUUGAAAGCCAGUGCUGGGCUUGCGGGAGAGGGCGAUGGGGGACGGACCCGAGCGUUGACAGCUAGGCGACUCCAACCCCACCUCCCCCUUGAUUGCAUGUUUUAUUUUCUGCAAAGACCAGCUAUCCAAAUUAAAUACGAUUUCCCCCACCAAAAAGAAACCGAGAUGGGGGAGUGGGGGGAAAGAAACUUUUAAAGCGGUAGUGUCCUUUUAAGAAGGGGGAGGGGGUCUGUUUGUGGCUACUCGCUUCCUCAGUUACCUUUUCUGCUUUUGACAGUUUCUCUCAUACCCACCCCCACCACCCCGCCGUAGGAAUCGAGGCGUGUGUUCGAAUCCUCCCUCUCCCGGAAAAGCUUGAGGGUUCGGGAGGAGCGGGAGACCUAGAAGUCUCGGGGAGGAAAGGGGGCGCUCCUGGGGCUAAUAGGGGCGAAGCGGGCAGCUUUUCUACUGCAGCUCUCCGGGUCGGUUUGGAGGACAAGGCAGAGGGAUCCGGGUCCCAGCGCGCGGGAUGUUGUGGAGUUGCCUUGGGGGGCCGGGCAAAAGGGAGAAGCGCAACUUUGUAACCUGCUGCGGGUUCGGAGCCCGCAGCCCUAGAGGAGGCUGGCAGGGGGCGUGUGCGGCGCGCGGAGGGAGGGCGAGGUGGAGUGGGGCACUCCACGCGCGAUCGGAGGGAGCGGCUGCGAGGCAAACAAGCCGAGAGAGAAAGCCGAGAAAAGCACCCAAACUUAUUUCUGUGCUGGGAAUCCUCCGCUCGCCGCGAUGCCCAGCGUUUCUGCGGGAACCUGGGGUUGAUCAGAGUUGAGUGCUGGUUGGCUAGGGCUAAGGAGGCAGCCCUUCUUGGGCCUUUGGUUCAUUUCGUGUUGGUGUCUGGAGUGUAUAAAAGAGGGGGCCUGGGGAGACAAGGGUGCUUGCUCCCCUCCGGGCGUUUUCCUAAAGUGGCCUGACCCGGGGAGGCGGGGUGGGGGGUGGGGGACUGACUCCUUUCUUAAAGGUGUCAGAAGCUGCUGUGGGAUCCCCACCCCCUCCUUCGGGGGGUGGGGGAUUAUUUAUUUGAAUGCUCCUGGAGUUUGCACAGAGCAGGAGGAAGCUGCAGCUUUAAUUACUGUUGUAAAUAAUGUAUAAAUCACGCCUGUCACUCCGAAGGAAGCGGGCUCCUGCGAGCCACCCGGGGACUUGGGACAGAGUAGAUCUCUCCGGGCAGGUUCGGCGGCUAGGGGACCUGGGGGAAGGCGAAAGGGGGACCGAAAGCCCCUCCCUUCCUCUUGGAUGUGCUAGUUGGAGGUAGGAACAUGGCUGAUCAUGUGCUGGCUGUUUUACAGUAUCUCCCCUCCCGCCCCACCUUAGCCACACCCCCUGUCCGAGAGCUUUCCCAUUCACGGAAUUCAAGUACAGUAAAAGCCAUCAGGAUGACAUAUGCUGGGGGUGGGGGGGUACCAUUUAAUUAAAGGCGAUUUCCGAAGAGUGACUGCGUUGAGGUUCUGUUUGAACCAGAGAAAUGGGGGCGACAAGGACCGGGACGAAAGGAAAGGGGGGGUGAAGACUUGGGGUGGGGGGCGGCCGCAACGGACCACCAGUUCUGCGACUUUGUGCACAGCUUUUGGCUGCAAAGAGUCUAUUUAGAGCCCGAGAUUUGGAAUGCGAGCGGGUUAUGUAACAGGGUUAAUCAGAAAUGCUGGAGAAAAUCCCCUUCAUGUGUUUGGAGGCUUUUUUUUUUUUUAAAGAAGGGGUGCACGGUGUCUAGUAGCGGCUCUCAGUUCUAGUUUGUGCCUUUUUUCUUUCUCUAGUCCCUCACCUCCCCUGCUUUAUUAACAUCUUCAGGUGUCAUUUCUGCCAGGUGUGUUCUUGCAUUAGAUGGGGAGGGGGGGCGGUGUGCAGGCUGCAGAACCAACUACAAAUCCGUAACUUGCAAAUUAUAUAAAGCCAGGGAAUUUGGUGCCCCUCCCCCCUCCCCGCCUCCUCAAAGCUCCAAGGAGCCAAAAUAGAAGCAAUGUGCAUCUUCCAGGAUGGCCCGCUGACCCAUAUCCCUCUACCCCCUAGAGCCCCCACUCGCAUUCCUUGAAGAAACCCUGGCUGUUUCUCCAACGAGAUUUAAGGGGAAGGGGGGAAGUAAGGCCCAGACACUCCACCUCCAUCCUGCACGCAGGCACUGGGUUACAUAACAGUCUGAGUGGAAAAAAAGGAAGGUCAGACAUGGAGGCAUCCUUUAGCCAACACAGCAGUAGUAAUAUCUUCCAGGAAUUACUUGCAGUUUCAGACCUUGACCUCAGAUGUAGUAUCUACUUCUCAGGGUUGCCAAUCUUGGUGAGAGAGAGAGAGAGAGAGAGAGAGAGAGAGAGAGAGAGAGAGAGAGAGAGAGAGAGAGGGAGAGAGGGAGGGAGGCAGAGAGAGAGAGAGAGAGAGAGAGAGAGAGAGAGAGAGAGAGAGAGAGAGAGAGAGAGAGCGCGAGCGCGCAUCUGGGAGAAAGAGAGACUGUGUGAGUAUGCUGGGUAGUUGAGAGUGCUGUGCAAAUGGGAAAUGUUUGGGUUUUUAGAUGAUGUAAUGGAGUUGGCAGAAUAUGCAACUCGGCUCCUGGAGUGUAAGCAUAAGAAAAUUGGAGCUGGCAUCCCAUAUUAAUGUUGCAUAAAUUACAAUAUCAGAAAGAAAUUAACCUACACACUAGGUGAUUAUGCCUCUUAAAUACUUAAAACAUAAAAACACAGGCUCAAAGCACAAAACAAACAUCACCACCUCACAAUUAGCCUGCUCCACCUCCUGGAAGGUGAGUGGAGGUCCUGGAUGAAUGGGAAGCUUCCUGACUUAGGAGGUGUUUUCCUAGGGGCUUUGAGGGCUUGUUUGCAGCCAGCAGAUGCUUGGAGUCUAUAGGGAUUGAGGGUAUAGUCUCGUGACAUUGAUGUGACCUCAUGAGAUCUUACCGGGGUGGAUUUGAGGCUAUUGCUACAUUCCUACGUCCUAAGAAUCUAAGUAUGAAACGGAUUAGAGGCCUUCAGUGCCUGGGCUUUCAAAAUCAGAUGUGUGGUUUUAUAAUCUGGAAGUUGAUCUCCCUGCACUCUUACAACUCCAAGGGAAUGGUGGCAGUCUUAAUGAAACCCUUCAAUUUUCUAGAAAGUAUUAAUGAUGGCUGGGGUCAUUCAGUCUCCCCCCCCCCGUCCCCCCCCCCUGUCUUUACAGCGCAUGAAAGAGGCGCACGAAAAUAAAAGACAGACAAGAACCAACAUGGCGAGUAAAAAUGAAAUGGAAAUAAAAAAAAAACACCGUGAAUCUUUAAUUUAACAUGGCUUUCAGGGGCUAUAGGGAGCUGUGAGCAUUGUGAAUAAGUGUUGUUAGGAACCCUUAUCCAGAAUCUCCAUAUUACAUGAGCACCAGAAGCUCACAUAUUUUACGUCACCAAAGUUACCAUCACAGGACAUGCACCAUGUACUGGGUUCCCAGUGCGGUGUGCAAGGCUUUUAGGGCAGGCCAACCUAAGAGAAAAAAAUCGAAACCAUAGGAUGGGAUUAGCACUGAGAAGCUGGGUAAGAUUGAGGGAUAGCCCCUGGAAGCUCAGCUGAGAGUGACUUAAAAAAUCAAUUAACAGGGCCUGCAUGGCUCUGCAAACUGAGGAGAAUGGGGAGGGGGUGCCAGAACUGCCACACUUUGGAAAUGCUUCCCCCUCCCUUCCUCUCUCCAGUCCCUGCUGAGCCAUGUUCUGGAAGGUUCUCUUAUUUAGCGGUAUGGCAACUUUUCUACAGAUGAAUUUUCAGAUUACCUUCUUUAGGGAAUGAAUGAUAGUUUCUCUGGCUGGGAGAAAAAUCCUUUGCCAGAGGAAUAGGAUGAUUUUUUUUUUUAAAUAAAAGACUUUAAUUUUCUGGUAAAUUGCUCAUAAAGCCAUUUAUAAUUAUACCCUUUUAAAUGCAAAGGAAUAAUUUUAGAAAAUGCAUUUCAUGAUAGUUAGGAUAACCUUUCUGUUGCCUCAUCCUAAUUUCUUGUAAAGAGUUGAAUUAUUAAUCUAGAAUUUGAGUCCUGAGUGGAUAAAAUACUUACAGCACACCCAUUCUCUCUUUUCUAAAUCACACUGGCAUUCUGAGGAGCCCUGGUCUUUAGAACAUGUCUGUCUGUGACACUGAAGCAUGGCUGAUGCCCGUAUAGAAGCUGGGUUCUGACAGCACGUCUCCACUUGGCUGUUCAGGACACAUAGAUGUGUGCGCUGGGAGUGGGGCAGCACACCCCUGUGAAGCAAGACAGACUCCUGAAGUGGAAUGGACAGGCACAAGGAUAUUAAUGGUCAGAAUCUCCCCUAAGGAUGACAAUGUUCCGAGGACUUGUGGAGACAGCUUAAUCACUUUGGGGAAAAAACCAGAAAGUUAUCUCCGUCUGAAGUUAACCCUUGAUUUGGAAGUAAGAAAAGUCCAUCCUCUGGUCCAUGUCAGAUAAAGCCACACAUUAUUCCCUCUAAAGUCCUCAUUUUGCAUUUGGGAACUUGUGUGACUUUGGGAAUGCUCUCGGAGUUGGACGUUAGUGACAAUUAGAUUCACAGAACACGAACUCCAUGUUUUGAAAUGCUAUUGUGUAUACACAUUGUUGUGUGUGGGCAUUUGUGUACAUGAAUGUGUGAGCAUGUGGGACCAGAGGUCAGUGUCGGGUGUCUUCCUCGAUUGCUCUCCACUUUACUUUUUGAGACAAAGUCUUUCACUGGUCUUAGAGGUCAGUGAUUCUGCUAGGCUGGUUGACCAUUGAGCUCCAGGGAUCCUCCUGUCUCAACCUCCCCAGUGUUGGGAUUGUAAGUGUGUGCUCCCACACCUGACUUUUGAAUAUGGGUUCUGGGCACUUCACCAGCCGAGUCAGCUCUCAGUCCUCGUGUCCUGUGAAGUAUUACAGCACGUGUUACUUUUUCAAAAAGUUCUCCUCUUUCCUCCUGUGCACCACCCCGCUCAGGCCUCUGUGUGUCUUCUUAGCUUCUGUGAGAACUUCUGAGUCUCAGGAGGCAAAAUGCAAAGGCGCAUUUUAGAGAUGGGUACAGGCAUGUGCAUGUGUGCUCGUGUGUGCUCUAUGUGUGUGCGUGUGUUUAUGCCCUAAUAUGACAUCAUCUGCUCCUCUGCCCCUCACUCUCUAUCUUCUAUGAGAUGAUACAGGGACUUCUAAAGCCACUGUCUUCCACUCUUACGGAGAGAGAGAGAUCCGUGACGCACCCAUCCAGAUGAGUUAUCAAUUCUCUUCUUAGAGUAAGGAGACUUUGAACUUGGAAGGACUUCAGCUACCAGAGCAUGCACUAAUCUAGAACAUAGGCAAUGUUUCCAAGUCCAAAGAGCUCCCUUGCUCUGGGUUUAGACUAGUGGUCCCGCUUUCCUUCUCAUCCCUUCCCCUUCUCUUUCCUAUAUUUAUUUUUGUGCCUAAUUCUUCAUGGGAAAUGUUGUUUAGAACAAAGCUGUUAAAACUUUUCAACCAUGUUUUAGGCUGUAUAUUAAUAGAAUUGAGUGAUUUUUAGGUUGAUGCUUUAAAAAUAACCCAGAUGAUUGGUGUUCGUCUUGGCUGCUAUAUAAUAAACCACAGUUUCACAUUUUACUCUGAGGGUACCAAGGCACUGCCAAUGAAUUGAUUGUUUUUCUGUCUGACAUUAGAUUAACACCAUUAUUAUUAUUAUUAUUAUUAUUAUUAUUAUUAUUAUGUCUUUCCUUUUUGAGUAAUUUUUUCUUUUGUUGCUAUGUGGUUUCCUUCCUUAGCCUAGAGACUCAGAGAGAGAGAGAGAGAGCGCGCAAGCCGGAAAGAACUGAGAAUGGAGCUGGCGUUGCAGACCAGCGGAGGUCUGUCCUGAUCCCACCUGGAAAUGGUUUCUUUCAUUCUUUUUUUCUUUCUGUGAAAUCUUUAGCAGAACGAUUUGCUUCCUUGUUUUCUAUGUUGCAAGAAGCAAGUCGGAAAUUCAAUUAGUUGUUCUGGGUUACUGGAGGUUUUAUUAAUAAAAACAUUGUCGACCAGAUUCUAAAAGGCUUUCGUUUGUUUAUCUACUUACUUGUCUGUUUAUUUGAGGCAGGGUCUCACUGUGUAGCCUAGGUCUCAGAGUGAUCCUCCUUCCUUAGCCUCAGAAGUGCUGAGAUUACAGUUGUCUGCUAGAUUCUUCUUACUUCUUUCUCUAGAGUACUGGUUCUUAACUUCCUAAUGCUGUGACCCUUUCACACAUUUCCUCAUGUUGUGGUGACUCCCAACCAUAACGUUAUUUUGUUGCUACUCUAUAACUAUAAUUUUGCUGCUGUUAUGAAUGUGAAUGUGACUAUGAAUGUGAAUAUCUGAUAUGCCAUCCCCAAAUGGGUCACGACCCAUAGGUUGAAAACUGCUGCCCUAGAAUUAUAGAAGAUGCUAAAUCCUCUUUAAGUAUUCAGGGAGGCAAUUCUGUUCACAAGUCCUGUAAUGUGGCUUCGUCUCCUGUAAGGGGUGGAAACCACCACUAACUUGACCAUUCCCUUGGGGACAUUGGAAGCAUCUCUGUAGUAGGAAAUGCAUGUACCUGGAAGGUUAGGAAGCUCCAGGAUUCAAGCAUGUAGUAAAGAAUAUUUAGAGGCCCCCAGAGGAAGUCCUUUCCAAGCUGUGGCCUUUGGGAAGCAUCUCUGGACCUCAGAGCUGGCUCCCCCAGCAACAUCAUCACCCAGGCUAACACUUGACUUAAUGUGAGUCAUUGAUUAGCUUCUGCAGCCUCUGAUGUCCGUGCGUUUGGGUUCUUGGUGUUCUGAUAGCCAAUUAUUAUUUAUUUUUUAUCAUUACUAGUUUACUGACUGUUUUUGGCAAAGGCAUCAAGAGAACAGUUUUUAAAAACAUCUUUAUAAGAGAGGAAGAGGGUAUGAUAAAAAUGAAGGUAUCACGUUCACUGGGUCAGAAGACUGGGGUUUUCAGUCCCAGGUCUUCUAUGCUUAUGCUGAAAGGAAUUACAGGGAACAAUGCCCUGUUGAGGGGCAAAUGAUUACCCUCCUUUCAUGAUAAUGGCUUUCAUGACGUGAUGCCAUUAUAAAUUGUGUCACCAUGUUACAUGGGAUGGGGCAUUAAUGAUAACGAUGGGUUUAUCUACAAAACAUGGGUCCGGAUGGUUGGCUGCAGGGCCCUGUACUCAUUCUCACAAAUGCUGACAGGACAGGUUUUCCACACCCGCACAGGUGGAGGAGGACCUGGGAUGACUCCGGCUGGAGUGAGACAGAAGCACGAUGGUGCACAGACUACAUUACCUCUCAGGUGGAGCCAUCGUAGCUGUGUGAUAGGGUGUUGGCGCUUGGGAUACAAAUUGUCUCAAACUGUUCUGAAGUAAGAAAAAAAGGUUCUACAUGCAGCCAGCAACGGUCACAGUAGAUAAAGUCCUCUGAGACACAGGGGAAGGGUACCACUUAGCGUAAAAUCCUCAAGUCGGUGAAAGAGGUUAAAAAUACCUAGCUUACUUUGGGGGAGGAUUCGACUGAAUACUGAUGGAGUUUAUGAAAUAUGAAUACAGCGAGUCGCCGUACGUAAGUGGUAGGCGUGUGAGAAAGAAGAAGAAAUAAAAUUGUGUAUAAAUGACACUCCAAAACUUGAUGGGAUUGUAGCGUGACAGGAAUGGUGGUGUGGGAGUCCGUGCCUCACAAGGGGACAGGCAAGCAGGCUGCAAAAUCCACCUAUCAAACUUGAUGUGGGACUAAAAAUUAUAGAAUGGAAAAACCAGUUGACUUGUCUUUAUAGGCAGAGAACAUCACCAAGGAUAAACAGGGAGCAUGAAAAGAAUAGACAUGAAAUUUCCAGAAAAGGGGGUUUGGGGAAACCACACCAAAAAAAACCUAGAGGCCAAUGUUUGAAUUCAGAAUGAGGUAUUCCAACUCAGUGUUCAGAGCUCCAGGCUAUCAGCUCUCGCAGUAUUAGGUGUUGGGCUUAUAGUCAAAUGAAAGACGUGACUAUGAACUUUCAAUUGUGCAAAAGAAAUCACCUUGAUCUCCCCCAAGCACGCAAAUCUAUAUACCAGGACUCAGCUGCAUAGGAUGUCAUUUCCCUGCCUUGUUCUGAUUAAUUGACAGCCUAUGCUAUAUGCUUCUUUCCUAAAGGUGACUUUAUCAUCUCUAGGCACCGACAUGUCUUGCUGAAGUCAAGGAAGGAGAACCCACGAGCUAAAGUGUGUUUCCCUGGGUGAGGUAUUGGGGGUGGGUGGGAAAAGAAUGGUGAACUGGGGCAAGGGGCUCAUGAACAAAGAGGACAAGAUGCCAUUUGGGGCUGGGAAUUAUGGGCUGUGGGUGAAGGUGGGGCUGGAGACUCUGUGUGUCAAAGAGGUGUCAGCAAGGACUCUGACAUUUUAAAUUACCUUUAUCAAGGACACUGAAAACAAGGCACGGUGACACUUUGAGACGUUAUGACGAACUUGUUGAGAUUGCCAAUCGACAAAGGCAGGUAUGGGGAUAUUUAGAAAAACAGACGACUAGCGCUGCUCUGAAGGGCACAGAGAUCAACUUUCUGGGGCGUUGAGGGAAUCGGUGGGUGGACUUAUUGACGCUUCCAAUUAGUUUCUGAAGAACUGGACAAAGACAGAGAGGAAAGGCAGCCAGAUGUGAUCCUGAAAUAACAGAAGCAGAGAGCCUCUCUCCUCCCGUAGGAACCAUGGCAGUUCACGGACAGGAGUGAGCAAACGGGUGGAAAAGAGUGGAUCUUGAACCACAUAAGCUGGUCAGGCCUGAGACCUCUUAAAUAAACCGCGUCUCUUUUCAGUUUUCAGUUGGGAAACCAGUGGAUGAUGAAAAGGCCGUGAUGUAGUCUCUGCUCCACAGGGGCACUGGCAUGCAAUGGUGUUCUCCCUAAAAGUGCAGUGCAGGGCAGCUGAGAGGCUAGACUGCCCAUAACUCUCAGUUGCCCAGGAAAAUGAAGUAUGGAGAAAGCUAAGCUAGAUGAAAUAAUUUGACUCUUGUGAUGGCACUUGGUGUGGGCUGGCUGGCGUGACAAGUGUGGAACUGCUAAGUUUUGUGACCUCACUCCGGUUUCUCUCUCCCACUUGGGGUAAGCACACAUGGACAGAAUGUGGGAACCUGAGGGCUGUGUGCAGAACCCAAAUGCCUAACCCAGAGAGUAUAACAUUUCACAGUCAGAGAUGACAGCCAGGGAUUGGUGCCGUUCACUGAGAUUCCCCAGGACCCCCAGAGUUACUUGGAAAAUGGAAGCUAUGCUAAAAGAACUUCUGGAACAUUCUGAACUUUGCCUUUGGACCUGAGUGAGUGUGGGGCUGUACAUGAGGCGUGGGUACACACUCAUGUUGCCACUACCCCUUUUGUUGGGCAAAAUGGGAGGUUGAGAAGGUGUCCUGAGACCUCUCUGGCCCAGCUCCACCCCACUCCAGUGAAUUGGAGGCUCUUACAAACCUGUAAUACGUCUGACAUGACAUCCCCAGGCAGCAGUGAGGGUGUGACCAGAGCCCGAUCUUCUGCUCUCUCCUCUGGUACCCCUUUCUACUCAUAUGCAGGUCCUCAGAAGUCCCUGGGAAAAGAACACCAAGUCCCUACCCUCCAGGAAAGUUAUCCUGAGGAUAUUUCAAUGCAUACACAAGGUCAUCUAGCCCAGCGUGAUUCAGUUAGGAAUUAAAGUACAUAUUUAUUGUUUACUACAUUAUGUUUUUAUUUAUAAUAAAAUGUACUUAAUACAAUUAAAGUAGACAUUGAGUCUCAUGUCCUGAUUCCGUAGAAAGUCAAGCACCCGCCGUUGGGAACCUGCUGGAGCAAUGAUUCUUCCCAAGGAGGUCCUUCCUCAAGGCUGAGGUUCAGGCUGGGCUCUUGACAGAGGUAUUUCCAAGACCAGUUCUGUGAAUAGAAUGCUGCAAGGCCACAUAAACAAAACAAAAGCAAAAACAAAAACAAAAACAACCCCCAAAUCAAACAAACACCCAAAACCCAAAAACCUCAUCACAGUAGAAAACUCUUUUUGCUUGAAAAUUAUCUAUGUGCUUAUUAGUACUGCUCAUACACACAGGCCCACUGGCCCAUGGGCAGCCUUUCAGUGGCCAUUUACCUAAAGACAGGUGACCGUCAUUUGAAAGAGAGUGAGAGUGGAGUAUAGUAUAUGGGAAGGGUUGAAGGGAAGAAAGGGAAGAGAGGAAGGAUAUUAUAAUCUCAAAGAAAAACCUUUAAAACUUUUUAGAGAGUGACUCUUUAUCCUCAGGCAGCCAUUAGCUACCAACAGACGCUCAGCUUGGGUUGGGGCCUUCACAGACCCUCCCGAUCUGGCGCUGGAAUUUUUAACUGGCUCGAUCUUGCCUUGGUGUUGUGCAGGUAACCACAGCUGUUGGGAGUUCUUGAGUGCGUUAGACGUGUCAUAUCCAGAAGAGAGCAUUCACAGCAUCUACUCAUUCUCCAGCCCGUUCUUCCUGCCCCAUGUUCCUGAGCCUUGGGGGAUGGGGGAGUGAAAGUCAGGGGUAGGGGGUGGGAGGGGGGCUGUGGGGUGUUCUUAACAUGGAAGAAAGUCUAUGGUUUAUUCCAAAUGAAAAGUAACACCAUUCACUGCAGCCUACAGAGAAUUGUAUCUUUUUUGUUUUUGUAAAAAAGAAGUUACAGUGUAUACAUGAAUGUGUAUAUGUAUAUAUUAAAUACAGUUAUAUCAAUAAAGGAACUUGGACCCACAUUAAAUGAAAUAAUAAAGUGCUCAGGUGUAGGUGUUGGCAUUAUCUGCUUUUCUUUUUUCUUUACUGAGGUUCCUGAAUUAGGAAUGUACAUUUUAAAAAAAUUAAUUAAUUUAUAUCCCAAACAUAAUUGUAUAAUUUUUGUAGUGGAAAAUAAUAGUUUUUUUUCCUUCUAAAAAGAUGGUGUGUUGUGAAACUGGGGGUGCAUUGAAGACUCUAGUUCUGAACUCAAGAGUCUUACAUAGCAUUCCAUGCUGUUUCAGAAUCAUUUGGGUUAAUUCCUCUAUGGAACAAGACAAGUUGAAGGUCAUUUUCUAGAAAAGGGGCAUCCAGCUUGAUCUUAAGAGGGUUCAGGUUUGGGAAUUCCUUAGCCUUUGAAAUUCUUGUGGCUCAAUGCCCAACGAACUAUGCAAAUUCUAAACCACUUCGAGAGUGUGUUUGCACUGCACACACACACACACACACACACACACACACACGUGCGCAUGAAUACACAUGUACACCAGGUAUGCAUGAAUACACAUGUACACCAGGUAUGCAUGAAUACACAUGUACACCGGGUAUGCAUACACAAGCACAUAUGUACAGGUGCACACAUACUCACACAAAAGCUUUUCACAUAAAGUAUUUGCACUCAUCUGAGCUUCACUGUUAUUUUUGUUUUCUUAAAAUACACAUCAUGGCCCUGAGAAUUAGCUUCAUUACAUUAUUGAGGAGAUGUUUCUUAUAAAUAUCAAGAGGCCUGUCCUGGGUGGGGGGUAAGUAGAGACAUUGUGGGGCCUUGGCAUGGGAUGGGAGGGGGAAGGUCUUCACAGCAACUCAAGUGGAGCUCCAGGAGCUGCUCAUUAUGAUCUGGAGGAGGACAAAUAAUAUAAAUACUCAUUAUUAUAGUCACACCAUAUCUUGAUGCCAUUUUUAGCAUACACUUGUUAUUAACCUAUUACAUGUAUGAGUGCAUCUGCCUUAGACUGGCUGAGAAUACAAAUUCUGGGAUUCCCUCUUCUGUGUGGCGUAGAGCAGACAUGUGAGAGCACAUGGUUGCGUUCCUUUUAUGUGUAUGAAUGUUCUGUUUGCAUGUGUGUCUGUACGCCACAUGUAUACCCGGAAUCCAGAAUAACAAAUCAAAUCCAGUGGAACUGAAGUUACGGACAGCUGGGAUCUACCACAUAGGUGCAGGGAAUUGACCCCUGGACCUCUACAAAAAGUGGUCAGUGCUCUUGACUACUGUUUCAUUUCCCCACCCUCUGGUGUAGCAUUUCUUUAACUCAACAGAUAUCUCCUAGGGCCUUUCUCUGGGCCAGUCACUGUGAUCUAGGCAGCCAGCAAGGAAGCUGGAUUCCUGCCUUGCUGAACUUUCCGUUCUGGUGGGAAUGUCCCUCACUCUCACCUGACACUGGACACCUCAGAGGAUUGUUCCUCCUGGUGUGUUUUGCCUGCUUGACUUCUAUGGCUUGUAUGUCUUUCUCUCUUCCCUCCUCCCACCCUUUCCCCUGUCCUGUCUCCUCUCUUCUUCUCAGACCUUCUGUAGAUCCAGAUAACAUCCACCCUCUUAGCCCCACAGUUCCCAAUAGCCCUGUUUUUCAGAUACUGGUUGCAUGGACCAAGGACUCCUUCAACCAUUGUGUGACCACUUCUCCUAGUUCCUUAAAGACUCUCGUCAUCUUCUCGCGUCAUUUCCUUUUUUGUGAGCCUAUUCUCCACAUGACCAGGAACACAGUCUAUAUUCUUACCUUUACACAAUGUCUUAGGUAAAGUAGAUCCCUGUUGGGCAGAUAUUCAUUCCCAUGUCACUCCACAAAGUUCCCCCAGCUUAGUGCUUCUCAAUGGCCUGUCCAUCUUCAGUGUUCUUGGGCUUCAGUAAAGUUUGGAGCCAGUUGUAUUAAUUUGCUCCAUGUCUGUCUCUAUUGGAUCCAUUGUUUCCCUCCAUCCCAUCCUCAGGGUUAAUCCAGACCCAAUCACUUCAGAGCAAAUUGCUCACGUUUAGAGACUGAGUACACAUACCUGGUUUGUUGUGUGUCUGCCAGAAGUGAGUGACAGAGUGAGGUCUGUGCUGUGCUAACUGUGUGUCCUAAGUGAGUUCAUUAUGCUGAAAACUGCCGAGGGUGAUGUUUCUCCCCUUGCUGCAAUGACCACUCCUGGUGCUGCUUGCCAAGUGCCUCUCAGCAGACCUUGGAAACAGUGUGUGUGGCUCUGAUGGUGGUAGUGACCAUGGCUGACACAGUGCUGUAGGUUCCCUUGCAUCUGUCUCCUUCUCCCACUCAGGUCUUGAACAUUUCCUGCUUGGUUCUGUGAAGUGAGCAUGACUCCUAGGGGCUUCAGUGAAGGUCCUGACAUCUCCUCGUGGCCAGUUCUCUUCCUGGGACUGGAUGUACUCCCUAUCAUUCAGCUGGGCCACCAUGGGCUGGAUCUGCAAAAAGGGCAUGUGACUGGAGUUGAGUCCCUUCAGCUAAUGUUAGGUUCCCUCAUGUUACCUCUCAGACCUUCUGGGGGACCUUAAGCAAGUCCAUGCCUACUUGUUUCCUCCCUGUAGCACCAGUCUUCCCAUAGUCCCCACUGGCCUUUGCUCUGCUUCAGGCAUGCAGGCUGGGAUAGCUCCAUUUUUCCUACUGGCCAAACUGAUGCUUUCUCUUGCUUCAUUUCUCACGGUUCCUCACCCUCCCUUCCCUUUUACUCAUGGACUCCUCCCUGUCUGCAGCGGUUCCAUUCAACUUGUUUUUCUGUAAUAUUCCACUCUGGUGACUGACUGCAGAGUCUUUAAAUUGUAAUAUCAUAAUUUACGUGCUCUUUGCAAGCAAUACUCUCAGAGACUCCCAACCUGUCUGCAUUCCUGUUACAGUAGCACAACUGAUAAGCAGGCAGCAUGAGAAGUAGUGAUGGGUACCACAGUGGUCCCGGGGAAACCCAGGAAAGUAACAUUAGCAGGAGCAGAGGGCAUGCCUCUGGAUUAUAGCAUCUUUUCUUAGAGAAUCAAUUCCACUUGCCAAGGGUCUUUAUUGAUUUUGCUUGUACUUGGACCAGGAUAGGUCAAAGUCACAAGCGGAAGAGACAUGGCAUGCUCGAGGAAGUGAGGGGUGAGCAGAACCCCAUCUUUCUCCAGGAUGCUUUGUGUUUGAUACACUGCUUGGCUUUUACAGACUUUUAAUUGGCACCGUGAUUAGGUGGCUUUAUUUCUUCAUUCAAACACAUUGGAAGCUGAUCCUAAUAUUCAGUGGUAAUGGAAAUAGAGUAAUGCUGUAAUAACUGUUCCAUUGUAAAGCAAAUUACACCAUUAACAUCUCUUUUGUCUAAUUUGUGUUGGUGAUAGUAUGGGACCACACACACACACACACACACACAGAGAGAGAGAGAGAGAGAGAGAGAGAGAGAGAGAGAGAGAGAGAGAGAGAAUAGCUGGUAUUUAAGAAAUAAACUAAACUAGCAAAGAGAACUUCUAUUCCUAAACUAGUCAGGAAAAGAAUGGUUAAUAUAUAUAUAUAUAUAUAUAUAUAUAUAUAUAUAUGUAUGUAUAUAUACAUACAUACACAUACAUAUAUAUACACACAUAUAUGUAUAUUUACAUAUUUACAUACAUAUACAUUCAGGUAGAUGUACACAAAUGUAUGUGUCAAGUACCUGUACACAUGUUUAUAUGCAGAUACAUAUAGGCACAUGCACACAUACAUGCGUGUCAAGCAGAUGGAGAAUACAGUAGAUUGUACUGGCAUGAAAGACUUGGCUGUGCUGCCUUUAAUGAACCCAAGCCCUAGCCGGCAGGCUGCAGCUUGGUUAAGCUAGUGAUGGCACCAGCUUUCGUUCUUACUGUCACAACCUGAGGACUUCGAUCCCGAGAUUCUCAGGAAGGUUGGUCAUUUUCCCCUUGCCAUCUGCCCCACCCCCAAGGAAAGUGCCACAAUUUGUGUGGCACAAAGAUAGAAGCAUAUUUUCGUGCAUUAAGUCAUAGCUAAUCCCUGAGGGCGGAAAUAGGAUCCAGGGAGGCAGAAUUCAAUGUGAUUUCCCCAUUGGGACAUGUCAAUUAAGAGCCUAAGUGAGUAGGUUCCUGUGACUGUGUCCCAGCCCCUGACUUUGCUGUGUGGGGUCUGUGUAUUGGAAUGAACCUGGUUCCAAUACCUAGGCUGGUAUCUCUAGGGAGGUCUUAAACCCUUUCCUGACUGGUUUCCUCUGGGUUGCUGUCUCCAGGGCUUCCAUCUCUAAGUUCUUAGGAACCCAGAAGUUCUGGGACACUACAGCAAGGGGCACCGAGAAGUCUCUUACCUGCCCUUCACUCUUGGGGUUUCUUUGACAGCACUGUCAACUCUGCCCCCUGCUAAUCUGGCACCCCAGAAAGACCUUAUCCGGAGAACUGAGAUUUUUAUGCAGUUUAGAACACACUUAACUUUCAUAGAUAGAACGCCUGCUCUCAUGACCAAAUUAUUUGAAGAAAAUCUGCUUUAUAAACAACUGCACGGUACCUGUAUCUGAAAUCGAGAAUGUUGAUUUUUAAACUCCUGGAGGAUGUAAAUCAGAAGGAAGGCAACAUCGAUGCCUGGCAUCUGGAUUAAGAAUAUAGUUAGUGGAGAAAUUUAUUGCAAUCCUCCAUGAGAAAAUAUCAAUAUCAUCUUGUGCCUAAUAAAAUGUUAUAAUGAAAAUUACCACGGAGCUUGACAACAUCUCUUUAUUAAUUGGCCUUUUCCAUGAUUAUUUUCUUAGUAGCGAAUGCACUCUGCUUUCCUGGCUCAUUAGUCAUAAUCCACGGCGAAUUCACAGUUUGUUGCUCCGCUAUGAUUGUCUUCCCUUGGGCUCAGUCCCUCUAGAGCAGGGUUGUAGAUUUUCUACGGUGUGUGGCCUCACAGCUCUGUACCAUUUACUCCUGCACCCAUGGAACACCCUCGGGGUGCCAAAGACAGGACUGCAGCUCACUGUGAGAAGGUCAGCUGACAUAAACCUGGGAUCAAGCAAAAGACAAUAUUCUUGGAAAGAUUUGGCUUUUGUUUUUAGACCAGGAUAUAGUGUAGUCCAGGCUGGCCUCAGUUUUGCUACUUAGCUGAGCAUGACUUAGAACUUCCGGUCCUCUUGCUACUACCUCUCAGUGUUGGGAUCACAAGCCACACCCAGUUUAUGCAGUGCUGGGCAUUGAACCCAGGACUUCCUGUGUCACAGACAGACCUUGUACCAAUUGAGCAACAUCGCCAUCCUGGAAACCAGCUAUUUCAAAGUGGCGUCACGGGUUGUCCUUUUGAUUCAUCAAGUGUUUAUUGAUCCCUGACUCGGUGCCAAGUCCCAAGUUGGUUAAUGAAGGAACGAAGGUGAACACUGGGGGAAGCAAUGGGAGGGAAAGACACAUUAACUCGUUUUUUAAAAAGUGCACAGAGAGGUCAAGGAACCCAUUAACAAAAAUGUAACAGUGUGGAGAGGAGAGAGAGAGAGAGAGAGACAGACCAGGAAGGGUUUGCUGAUGUGGGUGAUGUACCUGGGUUUGAGGGGAAAUGGGGAGAUUUUUCUAGGUAACGUGGAAAAGUAUGGCAGGCUGAGGGGGUCACAGUGCUGAUGGUUCAUUCAUGUCAUGUGGAUGAGGUAUUGGUUAGACUUCAGGAGGAGGAUGUUGGUGAGCAGCAGGAAGUAGGGGCGGAGAAAGUGGGCUGGGGCUGACUGAGGCCUGCUGGACUCUUUCCUCUAUCAUAAAACACUGAGUAGAUGGAAUGUGUUUGAUUUCUUUCUGGUAAAUUCCUGAGGCAUAAGUCUGUGGAGGUGGAAAGUUGACAGUGCAGGCCCCAGCCUUAUCAGAUACCCACUGAGGCAAUUCUGCAGGGCCAGGACUUAAAGGAGGCAGGAGGCAGGAGGCAGGAUGCAGGAGGGUGGAAUCUAAGGUCAGUUUCCCAAGUACAGGAUGGGGGUAGGGUGAGGGGAGCAAGUGGAUUCUGGAAGGAGGGGCUUUCGGGGCAGAGUUAUAGGCUGGGACAGUUUCGUGGGUUGAGGAUGCAUAUGGAGGAUGAUGUGUUCAAUUUGGAGUGGGAUAGGUUGGAGGUGCCAGAGAAACAGCUUGAUGGGCAGCUGGAAGAAUGGUUAACAGAGAACAUAAAAUGGUAUGUUACAUAUGAGCUUAGGGAACACGAGAGAAAGACCUCAGGAAGGGCCUAGAACCUAGGUAAGCCAGGUUGUAGACAGAAAGCAUAACUCUGGGCAGGACUGCCAAACAGCCAUGGAAGACUAAAUCUUUAUGACUAAGCGGUCCAGGGACCAAAUGCAUGUGGCUGGCUGGGAAGUCGAAGGUUGUAUGUGGUUACCAGAGGACAUCAAAGGUAUCUCUAACAUACUGGAGACACGGCAGCUGGAGAGAGGGCUCAGCAUAUAAGAGGCUCACUGCACAAGCAUGGGGAACUGAGUCCUAAUCCCAGCAGCCACAAAAUGCACAUGACGGAGCAGCUGUCCAUAAUCCCCCAAUUCUCUGGCCAGCCAGCUUAAAUGAAUCUCUGAACUCUAGGUUCAGUGAGAGAGAUGGAUUGAGGAGGACUUGUGACUUCAGCCCCUGGCCUCCAUGCCCACAUGCACAUGCAUAGCCUCCACACACACAACCAAAACUGGAGUUCCUCCAUGCACUUGGAAACAGCAGGAAUGUCUGUAAUGCCAGAGUCAGGGUCAAGUUGCCUUUGAGUCUCUUCUGCUUCGAUGGUGAUCCCUUCCUGAUUCCUAAUUGAUGAGUGAAGAAUUGCUGCCUCCCCCCGACACUGCCUCCGACUUUCUACACAGCCCGGCAUUGAUUUAUCCUGUCUCUAAAGGGAAUCUGCCUUGCACUUGGCAGAGCCUCAAGGCUGGAGAAGUUGGAUGAAUAGCAGCUUUGCAGAGGUCUCUGCGCUGCCUGGGGAGAAUGGCUGUGUGGGAGAGAAAGUUGAAAGGGGGAGCCCGAGAAAGGGUGUGAGACCUUCAAAGGAUGCAGCUAGCCAGGGGACACACUCAAUGGAAAAUUUUCCUUUAUGGUUAAUCCAAAAAAAGAAAGGGAAACACAGAAGAGUGUGUUGGUCAGGGAGACAAUAUUGGGUGUAAUUUUACUGAGGGCUCCAUUGUUGUGUGGUUUGGACACCUACUGUUUUUUCGGGUCUGUCUGUCUCUGACUCUGUGUGUGUGUGUGUGUGUGUGUGUGUGUGUGUGUGUGUGUGUGUCCAAAUGAAAACCCAGUUGUUGGUCCUAGCUCCUUUAAAUAUUGCUAUCACUCUGGGCUAGGCUCGCCUCAGUGAGAUCCAGGGUUUCACCUGUCCUCACUUCCCAUGCUGUGAUGCAUGGCUCGUGCAUACAUAACAAGCAUUUUACUAACUGAACCACCAUCCCUGCCUCUGUUUUCCAGGGUCUUUUAGAUGGGCAACAGCCUUUGGAAGUCUUGGCAGAAAGAUGGUCCUCGUCCCAGUCCCAGGAGGGUCUAAGAAAGUGUUACGUAAUUAUCAGGGGGACCUGUGGAGUUCAAACCGGCCAGAGACUCAUUGGCUGACCUCGCCUUAACUCUAGUUACUGCCAGGAGGGGUUAGCCUUGUGAAGAGCCAUAGCCUUCUGGGACACACUAUUGUUUUCAAUGAGCUCUGAGAGAAUGUCCUCCCAUCCACGUCCACUCCUGUGUCACAGGAGUUACUUGUGUUAUCUCUGCGCUAUGAAAUUAGAGGCCUUUGCCCACAGUGUGCUAAGUAGAUUAAAGGAAAGCCUGUUUUGUAUGGUGUAGGGGAAAACCAGGCAGAUACCAGGGAAAUAGCACUCGGGUGUUUGAUCUGACAGUGGGGAGGCCUCGGGAAGCCGGUGUCUUCUUAUAUCUGAAAGCUGAGCUCUGGCUGGAGUUUUCUUCAAAGGGGUUUAUAUUUUAUCUGUUGGCACUGUGGGGAGAGGGUCUGCCAUGGGUGAUGCGGGUGUCCUUCCUUCCUGUUGCUGUUUUCUCCUCUGCCUUUUUAACUUUGCAGAAAGCCUCCAGGUCAUACACUAGACCCUGCUCAGGACAUCACUGACCAAACAGUCCCCUUUUGUUAGGCCAACGGUCUAUUUUUUUUCCCCCUCUUGAAAGGUGCCCUUCAGGACAGCAGAGCCUUUCUUUGGGCUGUUUAUAAUUGAGCCCUGAGGAAACCUAAACAGAAUUCAGUCUCAACCCAAGCCAAGUGCUUCCUUCGCCUACUUAGACAAAGCUAACCCCACGCAGGAUGAAAUCUCACCAGCUGGUGACCGGAGAAGCACCUUGGGGAGCUCUCAGUGUGACUUUUCUCCCUGGCCACCAUCCCACAAGUUACUGAAGGCUGAGGGCCAGGCCUCAGGGUGCUGAGAGGCUAGAAGAGAAUCGUGGCUCUUGGUGAGGGAGGGUAGGCUGGGCUGUGUCUGUCAGCCUGAGGAGCUCUGAGGAUUUCUGUUUGGGAGAGUCUCUCAGCACUGGAAGACGAGUUGCCUUAUCACAGUGCAGUGUAAAAGAGACCUCUUAUUUGUUGUUUAAACUUUUAAUUAAGUUCAAAUGUUUAUUUGUCCUUUCAGAAAAUGGUUUACUUACUACUUAUUUAUUGAUACUAGCAGGGCCUCAUUCUAGCUUAGGCUAGCCCAGGCUGACCUCAACUUUGUGGCAGUCCCCCUGCCUCAGCUUUCCAGUGUUGAUUACAGGUGUGAAUCACCACUCUCUGCUACCUCUCCUCCUCUUCCUCCUCUUCCUCUUUUCCUUUCUUCCCCUUCCGGCUUUCUUUAAGAUGAAACUGUCUGUAGUUUUAGGCUACACAGCUUCACUUCCAGCAUAGCUGUACCUGUCUGUUUUCUGCCAACACCUAGGUAAGCUGGGUUAGUUGAAGAAAUUGGGAUUUGAUAACUUAGAGGUCGUGCAGUUUGAAGGUUAUGCUACUUUAUUCUGUAAUAAUGGGCAUGGGGUUAAACUCUGUGAUUUGAAGCAGAAUCUUUUCCCACCCCCAAAUGGUCUGAUUUAGUGUGGAGAUUAAAUCUCGCUCCUUUCUGUUCCAAAUUUUCUCCCCACACCAGAUAUGGACUAAUGGGUCCUUUGGGGUGACUGAGGUGAAAGGCAGAAAGAAGCUGGGCUUUGCCAGAGAAAGAGAAACUGGCCAGAAACCAUCUAAUCCCUCCACCCAUUGAGCCUCUCUAGCACGAGACUGCUGAUAUAUUUAAUAUCUGAGCUUCUUCAUGUGUGGGUCACUGAAGCCCCCCAUCCUUUGUUAGUCCUGUGGUCUUCCCAAAUUUCCAGAGAAAGCAAUAUUUGCUUCUUUGAGGCAAUAUUUGCUCCAAGAUCAUGGGAUCAAUCAUCUGCCAGUCCUCUUGAACAUUCAAAUCCCCAGGAGAGGGGCAGUUUGAGGAGAGACAUUGUUUAGAGGCUGAGGUACAUUUUCAGAAGUUAGGGCCUGGUUCUACAACAGGGAAGUCGAGCUAAAUAUGCAGUUCUAUUUUCAUUUUUGCUCGGUGCUGAGGCGAAAGUGUCAGGAGAUAGACCGUAUGUGCAUAAAAACGUCAGUGCGCAAGCGGCCCCUUGCAAGAAGCAGAACGAGGAAUUCUGGGUAGUUCUACCCCUAUUCCAGGCUAAUGUGCCCAAUUGCCUUCCUAAGGAAGGAUCCUCGCGCAACCACUUAACCUGGUUAACUAGUAGAUUAUAGGAGAGCUGCAGACCACAAAGGAGGUCUGUGGUUUACUGUGUCAGUACAGCUGCUAUAACAAAAUGCCUCAGGCUGGUAGUUGAAGCAACAUCUGUUUUCCAACUGUUCAGAUUUUACGCUUCCUGGCUUGGAGGUGGCCACAUCUUCUUUCAGCUGUCACGUGGUGGAGAUGGGGGUGGAGCCACUGUACCUCUUACUAUUUUUAUUUUUGUUCUUUGUCUGUUCAUAUGUGUGCAGAUACAUGUACACAUGUGCACAGACCAGAAGUCCUCCUCGGGUGUCAUUCCUUAUCAGCCAUCCACCUUGAUUUUUGAGACAGGGUCUCUCUCUCUCUCAAGCUCUUGAGUAAUCCAGGCUGGAUGCUCAGCAAGCCCCAGGGAUCCACAUGUCUCUGCCUCCCCAGCCCAGGGAUGGCACGCGUUACACACAAAACCUGUUUUUUCAGUGGGCUUAUAGGGGGUUUCUAGGACUCAAACUUCAUGCUUGUGUGGCAAUCACUUUACUAACUGGGCCAUUGCCACCCCUAGCCCUCCCUCCCACUUCUAAGGGUAGUAUCCUAUUCUGAUGGGCUCAAAGACAUGGCUUUAUCUAGUUCUAUUUAAGUCUCAGGUACUCCAUUCAGUACUGCCUACAGCUACAACAUAGAUGUUUGUGGGGGUCUAGACCUUUAGGGCAUAUCUUGACCAUUUUCGAAGUGCACACACAUAAUUUCCAAAGUGUUGGCUCUUUCUUGUUUGUUUGUUCAAAAAGCAGAGUAUUUUGCAUUAUGAUCCUGUAUCAUUUGAUAUCUGUUAGUGAAUUCCAAGGCAGUCGAAGUUAUAUUAUCAUUUGUUUUAAAUUAGAGUUAGUGAUUUAUUUUUGAUUUCUUUUCUGGUAAUGUGGUGACGGGUUCCUUUAUAUUCUGCCUAAUUGGGCUGCAUUUUAAUUUUGUGGCAAAUGGAGAAUCUAUUUUACAUUUCUUCUGGUAGACUGACAAGCCCGAGGCUGGGUCUGAAAUAGGGAGUUUGCAGUAGGGACCGACUGAAGCUGUGAGCCUCUUAGAGUUGUCUAUGCUUCUUAAAGUCCUGACCCAUCCAUCUUUUAGGGUCAGGUAGGAGACAUAUCAAUGGAAGACUCUGCGAGGAUAAUAGAUUAAAAUCUCGAAGCACCAAGAUAAGCUGUGAAUAGCCAAACCAUGGGAUAUUGAGAAUAAGGUCUAUUCCACAAACUUAUACCUUUGAUUCAGGCACAUCUGCUUGUGUGUCACCAGUGCCUAUGGUGUUGAUGUAAUGCAAAAUAAUAAAGGUUAAGCUUGCCCAGGACAAGCCCUGGGGACACCUGGAUUCCCAUCACAGCUUAGCUCUUCGUUGUAAGUGGCCCCAGUCAGUGUCUUUUCCCUAAGAGGCCCUACCUCUUCCACAGUAAGGAGAUGUGCAGAGGUGUGACUUCCUGAGAGCUCUGAUGUUCUGAGGCCCCAUGACCAAGAUCCCACUUACUUACAGAACCAUAAAACAUCGACACUUCCUUUUGAUAAUCGUUGAGACACAAUUUGAAAUUGCUCCCUCUUAAGAGUGGACUGACCCUGGACUCUGACCUCAUAGGUAGCAAUGCAUAUCCUAGUAAGAGCACCAGUGGAAGGGGAAGCCCUGGGUCCUGCUAAGACUGAACCCCCAGUGAACUAGACUGGUGGGGGGAGGGCGGCAAUGGGGGGAGGGUUGGGAGGGGAACACCCAUAAGGAAGGGGAGGAGGGGAGGGGGAUGUUUGCCCGGAUACCGGGAAAGGGAAUAACACUUGAAAUGUAUAUAAGAAAUACUCAAGUUAAUAAAAAAAAAAUUUGAAACAAAAAAAAAAAGAAACAAAAAAAAAAGAAUGUUAGCCCAGAGAUCAAAAGUAAUGUCUUCUGUCUUUUGCUUAUUAGUCUUUGUCAUUAUGCUUUUAAUUUCAAAAGAUGUUUUAAGUGUGUAUAUUUGUUCUUGACUAGCAUCAAUACUUAAGUGUCAGUAAAUCAAAAUAUAAAGCAAAAAAAAAAAAAAGAGUGGAGCCAUAAUGUUUUAGUAAAUUUGCAGGAUUUCACUUCUACCUCAGUGUACUUGGAUGUUCAUAUCAUGCCGAGAUGGUACCUUGUUAUGUCUCUUAUUACCUCCCCACACCCCGCCCUGGCCUGUGACAGCUGUUAAAUCGUCACUGUUUCUAGACAUUUCAGUGAAAUUGAAUUAUGUAAAUUGUAGUCUUUGGAUCUGGCUGAUUUCACUGGCAUGGUACUUUUAGGACUCUUAUGUGACAUAGGCUGUAUCAGUAUAGGUUGAAUAACGUAUGUUUUUAAAAAAGUCCCAAAUCUAGGUUUUUCAAAAUUUUAAAUAUUCAUGUAGACUUUACUGGCUUUGCAUUCCUCAUCCACAAGUUUCAGAUUUUCACGUUGGAGAUGUUGACUUUCCUCUUUUAGUGAGUGGCCAAUGAUUUUCUGAUCCCUCCAUAACUGGCGGGCUCCUUUUUCUAUGUGUUCUAUUCUGAGGUUCACCCAUUCUCAUGAUAGCCUUGUACACAUCCACAAAGAACUCAUAAGAUGUCUUCUAGAUAGUGCCAAGGUCUUUACUCUAUGGCCUGCUCUUUCAGGAAGGACUAGAAAUUUGCGUUUUUAACUAUUUAAGACCUUUCAAGGGCAUAGGCUGGAGUGUGGCUAGGCAGCUAUGCUCGUGUUGGUGUGUUUGCAAUCAGGUUCCUCUGUAAAGUUCAGGAAGGUUGAACCUAAUAGGUACCAUGGAUGUGCACACAUAUGAAUAUGGGUGCAUAUGUGUAUUUAUUUGUUUGUUUGAGUAAGAUUUCAUGUAGCCCAGGCUGGUCUUCAACUCACUGUAGAGCUGAUGAAGUCCCGAAACUUCUGAUUUCCCUAGCUCUAACUCCUGGGUGCUGGGAUUACAGAUGUGCACUGCUGUGCCCAUUUAUGUGCUUCUGUUCAUGCUAGACAAGCAGUGUACAAACUGUGCUACAUCUCUGGCUCUGGUGGUAUAUACUGUAUACAUACAUUAUGCAUGUAUGUACAAUACAUAAGUACUAUUUGUACAACACACACACACACGCACACACACUCACACACACACUCACACACUUCUCAGCCGUAUAAGAGGAUCUACCCCAUGGAAAGCAGGCACCAGCUACAGUCUUAUUGAGCAUGGUAAUUGUAGACGAUAUCAGUACUAUCCUUGGGAUUUAGAAGUUUGACUGUUAGUACACCUUGUUCUGUCUCCUGGGAAAGCUGAUUCUCAACUUCAUCCAUGUGGGGGUAUUGACGAGAGAUGGCCAAACCCAGACAUUCGACAAGUAAGCAUGAAUACUUCCCCGUGACUCUACUGAGGCACUGGGACACUGGACAGAGGUGCCCGCGUGCUGCCAGACUGCCCGGAGGACCAGCUGUGAUUGCACCUGGUUUUCCUCUCCCAAAGUUUGAAAGAGGGAACUUUUUCUUCUCUCUGUCAGGAAGGAACUUAUUAGAAAAUGAGAUGUGCUGGGGGCGGGGGGAGCACUGUUUGCUGUGAGAGGAGGAGGGAGAAGCUUGGUGUCCUCUCUCUCAGUUGUGAGCAUAUCAUCACAGCACAGCAGUGAGAGGAGGAAGAGAAAGAGGAGGAGGAGGAGGAGGAGGAAGAGGGUGUGUAGGAGCCUGUGUCUGAGUGGGGAGAACCGAGGAUGGCUACCUUGAAUUGAUACCGUGUUUUCCAGGCUUGCUUGCACGGCUUCUGCUUUAUAAUAUUAGUGACUGUGGUAGCAUCCACAGCCCCUCUUGACACUGUUGCUGGAGGUCCUACACACACACACACACACACACACACACACACACAAGACCUUUAUUCUGUUUAGCACAUGUUUAUAAUCCCAUGUCUUCACUCCUAUGCCCUGUGGGCACUGAAAAAGGAGCUAAGGUCCCACAGAUGAACUAACAUGCUGUUCAUGUCCUGUGUGUGUUUAGAAAAGCAAUUAUUCUUUACUUGAGUGUGUGACCUGAGAUCUGAUAGGGUCCCGUCCUUAUGAUGGCCCACUUACUCCUCCUUGACUUUAUUGCGGGAACUUGGAACUCUCAGUGCAGCCCUUCCAGCUCUAUCUGUGUUCCUAGGAAGCAGAGCUGCAACCUCUCUAUUGCGGGUAAGACUGAGGGGGACCUGGUGAGCUGCUUAGUCUGAAUUGAGACCAUUGCUCCCAGGCAUGGGACAGGGUUCUUACUGUACCAUCUACUUCUGUCGGGAGUCCCAAAUGUUUCUACACCAUAGCUCCAGCCUCCCAGGUUCCUUGGCGCCUCUGUUUAUUUCUUUCUUCACUUUUAGAGGCAGAAGGCAGCCGGCUGAGGGAGCCGCUCCCUGGAGCUGUGGUGUGCAGCGGAGUCACCUGAAGAUUGUCUCACUACUUUCUCUUUCCCCAGGCUGUUCCUGUGGCAGCUUCUCCAUCUUUCUAGAGGCUGACUUCCCCUUCAUUUCCUAGCUCUCCUGUUGUCCUUCCCUGGCCUGAGAAGCCUCGUGCCAGAGGGCUGCUUGAGACUUAACUCUCUUCCUCGUUGCCUUGGCAGACUUCCGGCCACCUAGAUAAAGCAUGACUCUGGCCUUGAAGCAGAGAUCCUUGGAUACCUUCUAACAAGUCACUUGAGUAGAACGUUGAGAACAACCUGUGAUUGUGGCUUUGCGGACGCCUGCAUGGUGGGCUCUGAAUAUUAAAACUAUGAACACAGGGGCUGCAUCUCCAGAACUGCCCCAGCAGCUAGCCCAGUGCCAGGCAGCCCCACCAGGAGCUGUUAACAGAGAAGUUGCUGAACUUGGCCUUGGCGGAGGCCUGGCUUUAUUCAGCCAGACUCUCUGAGCUUGCUGCCCCUUUCUGGAAGGGCAGGAUGACUAGCAAACACCCAUCCCUGGUGAGGCACAGUGGUAUUCUGGGGACAGGAUUUGGCUCAGUGGAGGCUGAACACCACCAGAGCAGUAACAGUGCUGACUGGCACACUAAAGCUUUUAGAUUGAAAAGCCGGGACAGAAUGUUCAGCUGGAGCCGGGGGACUUUUCUAUUCCUACUUCAGCUCUGCUGCUAAGCCUUGGGACUGAUUGGAAAAAUGCUCACUGCGGGAUUUGGCUAGCCAGGAUUUUAUGGGUAUUUUUCUUAGAUUUACUCAGGCGUAGUCAGUCACUCUUGCUGUCCCUCUCAGUGUGUGAAGGGCUGCAGGCUGUUCAUCUUUCCUCACUGAGGAACUCUGUGGUAUCUCAGAGAACACUGCCCUCCUCACUGACAUACUGAUGUGGAUGCCCUUGCCAAAGUGCUCUUGGCAAAACAAAAGCAGAUCUUGUGGAUCACCUCUUUGCUUAAAGCACUGGGGUUGGGGCUGGGGCCGGGGCUAGGGCUGGGGCUGAACUGGUAGAGCACUUGGCUAGUGUACAGGAGGAGUCCUUGGGUUUGAGUGACAGUACAACAUAAACCAAGACUGGUGACAUAAGCCUGUAGUCCCAGUACUCUGAGAGUGGAGGCAGGAGGAUCAGAAAUUCAAAACCAGCCAUCUUCAGCUACAUAGUAAGUUUGAGGCUAUCCUGGAAUAUGCAAGAUCCUCUCCCUUUCCUCUCUCUCUCUCUCUCUCUCUCUCUCUCUCUCUCUCUCUCUCCCUCCCUCCCUCCCUCCCUCCCUCCCUCCCUCCCUCCCCCUCUGUGUGUGUGUAUGUGCGUAUGUGUAUCUGUCUCUCUGUAUCUCUGUAUCUCUCUGUCUUUCUGUCUCUCUGUCUAUCUUUCUCUGCCUCUGUCUCUCUGUCUCUGUCUCUAUCGCUCUCUGUGUGUAUGCACGUAUGUGUCUGUUUCUCUGUCUCUGUCUGUCUGUCUUUCUUUCUCUCUCUCUCUCUCUCUCUCUCACACACACACACACACACACAGAGAGAGAGAGUCACACAGUCACACAGUCACACAUACAUAUGUAAUCCCAUCUAAUCCAGGCUCUUCACCACGGCCUGUCUCACCGGCUCUCCCCAUUGGCCACAUUAUAUUCUGCACCUCACACACACCAUGCCUCCCCAUCUCCCAUGCCUUACCAGACCUUCUUGCCAUCCCGAUCUUAAUAAGCAUUUAUGCUCUUCUCCCUGAGUCCCAGGGACUUUGAGUACUGAGGAGCCAACAGCACAGUGAAAACCAGGCCUUUGCAUGCCAGGGUUCGUGUUCCUAGGUAGCUUGUAACCCUCUGUCUGUUGACCUCAGCUGGAACCUGCUUCUCUCAGGGCACUUCCCACCUGGGUCAGAUAUAAUCUCCUUGUUCUUCAAUUCACCAGUAACUUGCCUGAAUCGGCUGUCAAACUGGAAGCAGAGAAAUUUCUACCUGGCACACAGUAGGUGCUCAAUACAAACCCGUGGAAGAAAAGAAUAAAGGCUACUUUUAACACUAAAGGGCACUAUGGACCAAAAAAUGUCUUCUUUAAGCAAUCAUCUUGAACAACAUUUGCUCCCCUUUGUGAAGAGCUUUGCAGUGGCCCUUGCCCAGCAGGCGGCACCCGCUGUUGUGGUGACAAGUUUGCUGUCAGUUCCAUUGUCCAUCCUUCUAGGGGAAUUUGUCUUCCUGCCUGCUUUUAUGAUUGCAUUUUUCACUGGUGUUCUGCAGGGUCACCAUCUUAUGUUUAGGAUGAGUUGAUGUGCUCCAUUCAGGAUUAAUGGAUUUGAUAUGCUUAUCCACUCUGAUAACUCCCACUCUCCUCUUAAUCUGGAACAUUCUUAGAUGGAGCCUCCUUCUCUUUUUCUGAAACUCCAAUUGGCCAUGUAAAUAAUCUUAUCUAACUCCUCUUCAUUUACACACACACACACACACACACACACACACACACACACACACACACACACUGAAGGGGCAGUGCUUUCACAUAUGAGUGACUGAUAUGGGUACCAGUCUGCACCAAGACAGAGGACUUGAGUGGAGGGUGCUGUUUGGUGGCAGAGGACCUGGCUAGUCUACAGAAAGCCAGGAGCAAUCCUGGCACUGAAAAAGAAGAAGGAAAGAAGGAAAGAAAGAAAGAAAGAAAGAAAGAAAGAAAGAAAGAAAGAAAGAAAGAAAGAAAGAAAAGAAAGGAAGGAAGGAAGGAAGAAAGGAAGGAAGGAAGAAAGGAAGGAAGAAAGAAAGAAAAAAAGAAAGAAAGAAA